AUGGCCUGACAUGGGUAUUCCCUCUUUCUAGUCCCACUCUUCUCCAACAGAGCUCCCUCAUUGAGCGAGCAUUCGGCAUUCCUAGUAUGCUCCACUCAUUCUACGCCAACCACCCAAUCACGGGAUCAGAAUCACACUCUAGAUCAUACCUUUCACGAAAGAAAAGGACAGGCAGCCGCUGCUAGUAUAUGA
rnacentral:rRNA from 1 species